AGUAAUGCUUGGGAAUCUGGCUUAUGGAGGGGGAUAACUGUGGGAAACUGCAGCUAAUACCGCGUAUAAUCGAGAGAUGAAAGGGUGGGACCGUAAGGCCACUUGCCAUAAGAUGAGCCCAAGUGGGAUUAGGUAGUUGGUGGGGUAAAGGCCUACCAAGCCUGCGAUCUCUAGCUGGUCUGAGAGGAUGGCCAGCCACACUGGGACUGAGACACGGCCCAGACUCCUACGGGAGGCAGCAGUGGGGAAUAUUGCGCAAUGGGGGGAACCCUGACGCAGCCAUGCCGCGUGAAUGAAGAAGGCCUUCGGGUUGUAAAGUUCUUUCGGUGAUGAGGAAGGGGUAUUAUUGAAUAGAUAAUAUCAUUGACGUUAAUUACAGAAGAAGCACCGGCUAACUCCGUGCCAGCAGCCGCAGUAAUACAGAGGGUGCGAGCGUUAAUCGGAAUAACUGGGCGUAAAGGGCACGCAGGCGGACUUUUAAGUGAGAUGUGAGAUCCCCGAGCUUAACUUGGGAACUGCAUUUCAGACUGGGAGUCUAGAGUACUUUAGGGAGGGGUAGAAUUCCACGUGUAGCGGUGAAAUG
rnacentral:rRNA from 1 species